rnacentral:rRNA from 1 species
UACGGGGGGGGCAAGCGUUGUUCGGAAUUACUGGGCGUAAAGGGCUCGUAGGCGGCCAACUAAGUCGGAUGUGAAAUCCCCAGGCUUAACCUGGGAACUGCGUGUGAUACUGGAUGGCUUGAAUCCGGGAGAGGGAUGCGGAAUUCCAGGUGUAGCGGUGAAAUGCGCAGAUAUCAGGAGGAACACCGGUGGCGAAGGCGGGUCUCUGGGCCGAUACUGACGCUGAGGAGCGAAAGCGUGGGGAGCGAACAGG